rnacentral:lncRNA from 1 species
UUCUUCUUCUAAUUAGACUUUCUAUUGGUAGAAGUAGCUUGCUCUACAAUGAGAGCCAUGCUCCUUGAACCCUUCAAGACCUCUUUAGCAUUUACCAAUAGGUUUAACAAUUCAGUGCAGUCUAUCUUAUUCAUAUGGUAGUUUACUAUAAACUAUCCAUACAAAUCAGAAAAAAAUUGCACAAUUAAAUCCACUUAUAAUUCC